rnacentral:rRNA from 1 species
GAUGAACGCUGGCGGCGUGCUUAACACAUGCAAGUCGAACGGAAAGGCUCCUGCUUGCAGGGGUACUCGAGUGGCGAACGGGUGAGUAACACGUGGGUGAUCUGCCCUGCACUUCGGGAUAAGCCUGGGAAACUGGGACUAAUACCGGAUAGGACGAUGGUUUGGAUGCCAUUGUGGAAAGUUUAGCGGUGUGGGAUGAGCUCGCGGGCUAUCAGCUUGUUGGUGGGGUAAUGGCCUACCAAGGCGUCGACGGGUAGCCGGCCUGGGAGGGUGUACGGCCACAUUGGGACUGAGAUACGGCCCAGUCUCCUACGGGAGGCAGCAGUGGGGAAUAUUGCACAAUGGGCGCAAGCCUGAUGCAGCGACGCCGCGUGGGGGAUGACGGCCUUCUGGUUGUAAACUCCUUUCGCUAGGGACGAAGCGCAAGUGACGGUACCUGGAGAAGAAGCACCGGCUAACUACGUG